rnacentral:rRNA from 1 species
GAACGCUAGCUACAGGCUUAACACAUGCAAGUCGAGGGGCAGCAUGGUCUUAGCUUGCUAAGGCCGAUGGCGACCGGCGCACGGGUGAGUAACACGUAUCCAACCUGCCGUCUACUCUUGGACAGCCUUCUGAAAGGAAGAUUAAUACAAGAUGGCAUCAUGAGUCCGCAUGUUCACAUGAUUAAAGGUAUUCCGGUAGACGAUGGGGAUGCGUUCCAUUAGAUAGUAGGCGGGGUAACGGCCCACCUAGUCUUCGAUGGAUAGGGGUUCUGAGAGGAAGGUCCCCCACAUUGGAACUGAGACACGGUCCAAACUCCUACGGGAGGCAGCAGUGAGGAAUAUUGGUCAAUGGGCGAGAGCCUGAACCAGCCAAGUAGCGUGAAGGAUGACUGCCCUAUGGGUUGUAAACUUCUUUUAUAAAGGAAUAAAGUCGGGUAUGGAUACCCGUUUGCAUGUACUUUAUGAAUAAGGAUCGGCUAACUCCGUGCCAGCAGCCGCGGUAAUACGGAGGAUCCGAGCGUUAUCCGGAUUUAUUGGGUUUAAAGGGAGCGUAGAUGGAUGUUUAAGUCAGUUGUGAAAGUUUGCGGCUCAACCGUAAAAUUGCAGUUGAUACUGGAUAUCUUGAGUGCAGUUGAGGCAGGCGGAAUUCGUGGUGUAGCGGUGAAAUGCUUAGAUAUCACGAAGAACUCCGAUUGCGAAGGCAGCCUGCUAAGCUGCAACUGACAUUGAGGCUCGAAAGUGUGGGUAUCAAACAGGAUUAGAUACCCUGGUAGUCCACACGGUAAACGAUGAAUACUCGCUGUUUGCGAUAUACAGCAAGCGGCCAAGCGAAAGCGUUAAGUAUUCCACCUGGGGAGUACGCCGGCAACGGUGAAACUCAAAGGAAUUGACGGGGGCCCGCACAAGCGGAGGAACAUGUGGUUUAAUUCGAUGAUACGCGAGGAACCUUACCCGGGCUUAAAUUGCAGAUGAAUUACGGUGAAAGCCGUAAGCCGCAAGGCAUCUGUGAAGGUGCUGCAUGGUUGUCGUCAGCUCGUGCCGUGAGGUGUCGGCUUAAGUGCCAUAACGAGCGCAACCCUUGUUGUCAGUUACUAACAGGUUCUGCUGAGGACUCUGACAAGACUGCCAUCGUAAGAUGUGAGGAAGGUGGGGAUGACGUCAAAUCAGCACGGCCCUUACGUCCGGGGCUACACACGUGUUACAAUGGGGGGUACAGAGGGCCGCUACCACGCGAGUGGAUGCCAAUCCCCAAAACCUCUCUCAGUUCGGACUGGAGUCUGCAACCCGACUCCACGAAGCUGGAUUCGCUAGUAAUCGCGCAUCAGCCACGGCGCGGUGAAUACGUUCCCGGGCCUUGUACACACCGCCCGUCAAGCCAUGGGAGCCGGGGGUACCUGAAGUGCGUAACCGCGAGGAGCGCCCUAGGGUAAAACUGGUGACUGGGGCUAAGUCG